rnacentral:rRNA from 1 species
AGUGAACGCUGGCGGUAGGCCCAACACAUGCAAGUCGAACGGCAGCACAGGAGAGCUUGCUCUCUGGGUGGCGAGUGGCGGACGGGUGAGGAAUACAUCGGAAUCUACCUUUUCGUGGGGGAUAACGUAGGGAAACUUACGCUAAUACCGCAUACGACCUACGGGUGAAAGUGGGGGACCGCAAGGCCUCACGCGAUUAGAUGAGCCGAUGUCCGAUUAGCUAGUUGGCGGGGUAAUGGCCCACCAAGGCGACGAUCGGUAGCUGGUCUGAGAGGAUGAUCAGCCACACUGGAACUGAGACACGGUCCAGACUCCUACGGGAGGCAGCAGUGGGGAAUAUUGGACAAUGGGCGCAAGCCUGAUCCAGCCAUACCGCGUGGGUGAAGAAGGCCUUCGGGUUGUAAAGCCCUUUUGUUGGGAAAGAAAUCCUGUCGAUUAAUACUCGGUGGGGAUGACGGUACCCAAAGAAUAAGCACCGGCUAACUUCGUGCCAGCAGCCGCUGUAAGAC